AAGGACCUGUAUGAUUUCAAAUCAACAAGUAAUAAAGUGUGAGAGUGAAGAGAUUUCUGUUGUGCCACACAUACAUACAUAAGCAGGAGGAUGAAGAGAUCAGGAGUGUUGGUAUUUGCAGCAGCAUCAGCAGCCGCGUCUGCUUCAUGCGACUCCGGUUCUUCCCAGAUUAGCUCUUCUUCUCCGCAGAAAGGAGAUGUUUGUGAGGGGCAGAAGACAGCAGAGGAGAAGAAAUGCUGCGAUCAAUUUAGUCCCAGGUUCGAUGGUUUAAGGUUUAUUGAAACGCUCGUCACUGCUCACCGUUGAAAAUGUUUGAUUUAUCCGCACUGGUAGACUAGUGGUAGCUAGUCAUUGUCGAGGAGGAUCACUGGAUCGCACUUUAUUUAUACUCCUUUGAUUCACCCAAACAAUUUAGCAUAAUGUUUCUCUGUUUUUCUUCAGUUCAGUAAAUAUUUCGGCUCUUGUAACUUUCCUAUUCUAAAACGAACUUUAUGACAGUAUGCCUACUAGUAUUGUUUUACUA